AGAGUUUGAUCAUGGCUCAGAACGUACGCUGGCGGCACGCCUAACACAUGCAAGUCGAACGAAGUAGCAAUACUUAGUGGCAGACGGGUGAGUAACAUGUAGGUAUCUGCCCUUUGGCCUGGAAUAACACGAGGAAACUUGUGCUAAUACCGGAUAAGUCUUUACGGAGAAAGCUUUAUGCACCAUUGGAUGAGCCUGCACUUGAUUAGUUUGUUGGUGGGGUAAUGGCCUACCAAGACUGUGAUCAAUAGCUGAUUUGAGAGGAUGAUCAGCCACAUUGGGACUGAGACACGGCCCAAACUCCUACGGGAGGCAGCAGUGGGGAAUCUUGCACAAUGGAGGAAACUCUGA
rnacentral:rRNA from 1 species